ACUAACCCCAUGGAGCCCAGGUGGGGCUGGGAGUCUGCUGUUUGUACAGCCGGUGGGCUCAUGUUGCUUUGGGCAUCCCUGUGCCUGAAUUCCUGCAGUACACUCGGUGCCUAUUUCCUAAUCUGGAAAACUGGAAUGAUGUUAAACAUCCCGCAGUGCAUUCCAUGGUGCAUCCUCGCCUAGAAUUGAGUGGAAGCAAGUCCAUCUCAGAAGGGACAUAACUGAAGAGGAAUGGCUUUCCAGACUCUGAAGUGCAGAGAAAGCACCAGCCUGGGUUAGAGAAAGAGAACAGCAUCUAUGAGCCCGUCCUGGGUGACCUCACAGAGAUCACCCUAGUGGCCCAGGCUAGUGACUGGGAACAUGUACCUUCCUGCAGCCAACCCCAGACGUCCACUGAUGCAUCAUAUACUGGCAAAGAUCCUGGACUGGGGGGGCCUUUGCCGCCAGAGAUUU